UACGUAGGGGGCGAGCGUUGUCCGGAGUUACUGGGCGUAAAGGGCCUGCAGGCGGUCCGGCGCGGUUUGUGUGACAGCGGAUGGCUUAACUAUCCGAGGAUACGAGAUACGGCGUGACUUGAGAGCGCGAGAGGGACACGGAAUUCCGGGUGGAGUGGUGAAAUGCGUAGAGAUCCGGAGGAACACCGAAGGCGAAGGCAGUGUCCUGGCGCGUAUCUGACGCUGAGGUGCGAAAGCCAGGGGAGCGAACGGG
rnacentral:rRNA from 1 species